GUAAAUACUGUGAAUGAGAGAGUAAUUAUAAGGAAUAUUUCAGGGAGAAAAAGCCUUAGACUGGAAGCUUUUUUAAUAAAAAUUAUAAUGAAGUUCGCUCAGGAGUACUAGUUGUGAAAUAAUAGUAGUAACUAGCGGUUUAACCGUUAUUUUAAUUAAGAGGAUGUUAUGGUAUUGCUGUAAUAUCAACUAGGGUGGUAACGCGGAUAUUCCGUCCCUUUU
rnacentral:ncRNA from 1 species